UACAGAGGUGGCAAGCGUUGUUCGGAAUUACUGGGCGUAAAGGGCUCGUAGGCGGCCAACUAAGUCGGAUGUGAAAUCCCCAGGCUUAACCUGGGAACUGCAUCCGAUACUGGAUGGCUUGAAUCCGGGAGAGGGAUGCAGAAUUCCAGGUGUAGCGGUGAAAUGCGUAGAUAUCGAGAGGAACACCUGCGGCGAAGGCGGGUUGCUGGGCCGACACUGACGCUGAUGCGCGAAAGCCAGGGGAGCGAACGGG
rnacentral:rRNA from 1 species